CGCGAGUAUUCAGAGUUUGAUCCUGGCUCAGAUUGAACGCUGGCGGCAUGCUUUACACAUGCAAGUCGAACGGUAACAGGGUGCUUGCACCGCUGACGAGUGGCGAACGGGUGAGUAAUGCAUCGGAACGUACCCAGUCGUGGGGGAUAACGUAGCGAAAGUUACGCUAAUACCGCAUACGUCCUGAGGGAGAAAGCGGGGGACCGUAAGGCCUCGCGCGAUUGGAGCGGCCGAUGUCGGAUUAGCUAGUUGGUAGGGUAAAGGCCUACCAAGGCGACGAUCCGUAGCGGGUCUGAGAGGAUGAUCCGCCACACUGGGACUGAGACACGGCCCAG
rnacentral:rRNA from 1 species